rnacentral:snRNA from 1 species
GUGCUUGCUUUGGCAGCACAUAUACUAAAAUUGGAAUGAUACAGAGAAGAUUAGCAUGGCUUCUGCACAAGGAUGACACACAAAUUCGUGAAGCAUUCCAUAUAAAA